CGAACGGGUGAGUAAUACAUCGGAACGUGCCCGAUCGUGGGGGAUAACGAAGCGAAAGCUUUGCUAAUACCGCAUACGAUCUACGGAUGAAAGCAGGGGACCGCAAGGCCUUGCGCGAACGGAGCGGCCGAUGGCAGAUUAGGUAGUUGGUGGGAUAAAAGCUUACCAAGCCGACGAUCUGUAGCUGGUCUGAGAGGACGACCAGCCACACUGGGACUGAGACACGGCCCAG
rnacentral:rRNA from 1 species